CCCUUAGAUGUCCUGGGCCGCACGCGCGCUACACUGAUGCAUGCAACGAGUUUAUAACCUUGGCCUGAAAGGUCUGGGUAAUCUUUUGAACGUGCAUCGUGAUAGGGAUAGAUUAUUGCAAUUGUUAAUCUUGAACGAGGAAUUCCUAGUAAACGCGAGUCAUCAGCUCGCAUUGAUUACGUCCCUGCCCUUUGUACACACCGCCCGUCGCACAUACCGAUUGAAUGGUUCGGUGAAGAUCUCGGACUUCGAUAUUUAUUCUUUAUUGAGUUUAUAUUGUGGGAAGUUAUCUAAACCUCAUCAUUUAGAGGAAGGUGAAGUCGUAACA
rnacentral:rRNA from 1 species